GACUUCGGACUUCUUUGGAGACACUCGUACAAUAAAUGGGGCAAACUCAUCCCUGGUGUGACACCGCUGAAUUCAACAGGCUUACACCACAUAUGAAUUUUCCCUAGUAUUUAAAUACAGAAUUGCAAGAGUCAUGUUUACAUAAGUCAUGUUUAAAUAAGCAGCCAGAAGGGCAUAAUGUCUAUUCUACAAAGACAGUGGACUAGUACUCAAAAUAUUCCCCGCUUUAAACAUUUUUUUACAAUAAAGGUGCCAAGCUACUUACCUGUGCCAUUUCCUCAACUUUGGAAGAUGUAUGGGCGCCCAGAGCAAAGCUGUCAUAUCUGUGAAAAGAAUUUAAAAAGCUGCUUUGAAGAUAAACACGAUCAAAUUUUAUAAGGGAGUAAAUAGCCGGCUUGCUUCCUUUUAAUAUCCAGCAAGAAGCUUCCGAAAAUACUUUUUAUGAAGAGUCCACAGAGUUUGUCAUGUUAUUUCUCAAAUGCAUCUUAUGAUAUAUUUUUUUCAUCCAUCAGGUUGCUGGAAUCUGCAACUUGUUAAUGUUCCAAGUGAACAGCCAAGAAGGGACCUCAGAUUAAUGGCAUUUACGCUGCUGGAAUAUCAGUAAGCUACUAUUAAGCAGUAGAAUGAACACCUGUUGUGUAUAGCUCACCGUGGCUGCUGCCGAGUCUGGUGCUUUAAGGUGUGCUUCCUUGAUUUUUUGAAGGAGAAGAGUGACGCAAAAGGAGUUCUGAAUCCCAGAAUGGAAGAUAAUGAAAAUUUCACUUUUCUGUUGGAGGCACACUGCAGGAGUAUUAAGAGCCAGAAAGUGAAACUGACUACAUCUGGGAUGCACACACUAUGGAGAUUUCUGUAAAAGGCUGUAAUCCUGCAAAGGUUUAUUUAUCUAACAUCUUCAUGUCUGUCAUAUUAAGAAUGUGCAUAUUAUGUCUCCACAAAAUUAGUGUCUAAAUCUGAAAAUGUUUAUAAUGAAUUUUUUUUAGAAGAACAAAAUAGUUUUUGUCAAUAGUGGAUUGGCAAAACAAUACAAGGGUUGGGUGUAGACUAGUAGAAAGUGUCCUUUUAACCUGUCACCUUUCAUUUUCUCUCAAUAUUUCUUUGUUUUUCCUUCUCUGAAUUUCUUCACAUGGUGGCACUAUUAUUUACUGCUUUUACAGCACUCAUAAUCAAACGAACAGUAAAGGGUGUUAGGGAUAAAGGUCACAACAAGAAGAUUGCGCAAUAUAUACAUUCAAUCUUUUGCCCUCUGAGGGCCAGAUCCAAAGCCCACUGAAGUCAAUGGAAAGACUCUUCCCACUGAUGCAAGGAAACGCCUCAAAAGUAAAGGUACAAAGGAUUUUUGGGAAUGAAACCCCUGACUCCGUAGAUCAGCCUCUCAACUCUAGUCCUCUGGCCCUCCUCUCUCUGGCUGGAUACCACUUUAAGGAGCUGGACCGUCAAUGGGCAGAGACCCACUCCUGCACAUAUCUCCUACAUGCACCCUGGAAUGCAGUUACUGCUAUUUUAAGUGGGAACAUCUUAAGGCAAGUCUACAUUACAAAAUUAAGUUGAGCUAAGUUACGUUGACAUACAGCCAUUGCAGUAAUUACAUCGCUUUUGCGUGUCCACACUAUGUCGACGGUGCACAUCUUCACAAGGAGCGCAUGCACUGAUUUAACUGUCAUGGCGGGGCAUUGUGGGACAGCUUCUGAAAGGCAGCAACAGGAGCAUAGGCAGACAGACUGAUUGGAAGUGGAAACCAUUGGAACUUCAUAACAAGCUGCCAGUGGGCAGCUACAGGAGCAAGAAGCCAGAUUCAUCCCCAUGGCGAGUACACAAAUUACCUCUGUAUGACAGCUCACGAAGCAGGAGUUCAGAGGAAGCUAAGAAAUCAGGAGUUCAGAUUGUCUUUAAGUCAAAUAAUGCAAGUCCUUAAAGCACAGAACACUACAAACUGAGACCACGAUAGCUAAGUGUAUUCAUCACCCAGCUCAAGCUAUAUCGACGUUUCACAACCCCUCCAGCCAUUAAACCACUUCAUUACCAGAGGCUGAAAGAACAGUCAGAGAGGAACUUUGUAUCACUGAAUCUUGACAUCUGAAUCUCACUAUUACCUUGUACGAGACAAGGUGGGUGAGGUAAUAUCUUUCAUUUGACCAACUUUUGUUGGCAAGAGAUAAGCUUUUGAGCCACACAGAGCUCUUCUUCAGGUUUUAUCUUGUGUGGUCAGUCGUAGUUUAUCGUGAAGAUGUUAUUUUGUGCCAUGGUGCUAUCAGGGAACAAGUAGACAAGGCAGAAAUUGGAGUAUCUUUUUACUGGAUCUAUGAAUAGGUUAGAAAACAAGUUCUUGAGUGACAGGUCAUUAAGGGCAUUAUAAUUCCACAGCUGUCAGCUGCUCUCUGUCUAGAAAGUGGGCCUGAUUUUCAAUUGUCCUGAACCUGGUUCAGUCAUUUACCUUUAUGCAGAGUGCAUUAUGGGUGUACAACACUACUAUUGUGAUUUGGUAAUGUUCCAUAACCAAUUUGUGCUGUUUGUGAACAGGUAUAAAUUACUAUAGGAGCUGCAGGACGGGGGGGGAGGGGAAAUCAGUUUGUGCAGAAUGGCUGAUGUACUGCACUUGUUAUCACACUGCCUAUGACCAAGAUGUUCACAAGCUACCUAGCAAUAUAGUAAUAAAACAACUAUAGGUUCAUGAUGCAAUUGAGGGGAAGAAUGUUUAUAAUCUUUUAAAGUAUGCUGUGUGGGUGUGUAAAUUCCAAAUGGUGGGUAAGGGAAUGUAGCUACUGACAUAACCUGACUGAUUAGAAGUGACUCUCUUAGAUAAUGUCCCUUAUAGUGGUUUUGAUUUGUACGUAAUCAAGACAUGUCUACUCUUCCAGUCUAAUGAGUUUUUAGUGGGUCAUGAAAAAAAGAUUUUUCAUAAACAAAUACCAUCUCAGUAGAUAAUAACAACACGCUUAGGGAAAUCAUAGCAAACCCCUGCUCUUCCAUGCAGGUGACUUAUAUACACUUGGUGUAUGCAGUAAUAUAUACACUUGGUGCUUUAAAUGUCAUACAACUGAAAACAAUUAUAAGCCAAAUCUGGGAGAAAAAAAUGUAAUCAGAAAAAUCUAAAUGACAAUGGUUUAAGAACACUCUACUACACUGUUUUUCAAAAUUCGGGUCGCGACCCAGUACUCGAUCACGGCACAUCAGGCACUGGGUCGCUCUGGUCAGCACCACCGACCAGGACAUUAAAAGUACCGUUGGCGGUGCUGCCCAGCUAAGGCAGGCUAGUGCCUACCUGUUCCGACACCACGCUGCACCCCGGAAGCAGCCAGGAGUGGGUCCGGCUUCUAAGCAGGAGGGCCACGGGGCUCAGCGUGCUGCCCCUGCCCUGAACACCGGCUCUGCACUCCCAUUGGCCUGCAGGCAAGAGUUGUGCGAAGCCGCUUGCACACCUCCACCUAGGAGCCAGAGUGCUGCUGGCUGCUUCCAGGGCGCAGCGCAGUCCGUGGUGCCAGGACAGGUGGAAAGCCUGCCUCUACACCCCGGCUGCGCCACUGACUGGGAGUUUCCAGAGGUAAGUCCGCAAACCAGCCCUGUGCCCCAAUCUCCUGCCCCAGCCCUGAGACCCCCCCCAAACCUGAACCCCUUCCUGCAUCCCAAACCCCUCAUCACCGGCCCCACCCCAGAGUCUGCAUCCCCAGCCCAGAGCCCUGA